ensembl:misc_RNA Metazoa_SRP Metazoan signal recognition particle RNA
GCCGGGUGUGGUGGCGCACGCCUGUAAUCCCAGCUACUCGGGAGGCUGAGGCAGGAGAAUCACUUGAACCCAGGAGGCGGAGGUUGUAGUGAGCCAAGAUCCCACCACUGCACUCCAGCCUGGGCAACAGAGCGAAACUCUGUCUCAA